GAGUAGGGCGGGACACGUGGUAUCCUGUCUGAAUAUGGGGGGACCAUCCUCCAAGGCUAAAUACUCCUGACUGACCGAUAGUGAACCAGUACCGUGAGGGAAAGGCGAAAAGAACCCCGGCGAGGGGAGUGAAAAAGAACCUGAAACCGUGUACGUACAAGCAGUGGGAGCACCUUCGGGUGUGACUGCGUACCUUUUGUAUAAUGGGUCAGCGACUUAUAUUCUGUAGCAAGGUUAACCGUAUAGGGGAGCCGCAGGGAAACCGAGUCUUAACUGGGCGUUAAGUUGCAGGGUAUAGACCCGAAACCCGGUGAUCUAGCCAUGGGCAGGUUGAAGGUUGGGUAACACUAACUGGAGGACCGAACCGACUAAUGUUGAAAAAUUAGCGGAUGACUUGUGGCUGGGGGUGAAAGGCCAAUCAAACCGGGAGAUAGCUGGUUCUCCCCGAAAGCUAUUUAGGUAGCGCCUCGUGAAUUCAUCUUCGGGGGUAGAGCACUGUUUCGGCUAGGGGGUCAUCCCGACUUACCAACCCGAUGCAAACUACGAAUACCGAAGAAUGUUAUCACGGGAGACACACGGCGGGUGCUAACGUCCGUCGUGAAGAGGGAAACAACCCAGACCGCCAGCUAAGGUCCCAAAGUCAUGGUUAAGUGGGAAACGAUGUGGGAAGGCACAGACAGCCAGGAUGUUGGCUUAGAAGCAGCCAUCAUUUAAAGAAAGCGUAAUAGCUCACUGGUCGAGUCGGCCUGCGCGGAAGAUGUAACGGGGCUAAACCAUGCACCGAAGCUGCGGCAGCGACACUAUGUGUUGUUGGGUAGGGGAGCGUUCUGUAAGCCUGCGAAGGUGACCUGUGAGGGUUGCUGGAGGUAUCAGAAGUGCGAAUGCUGACAUAAGUAACGAUAAAGCGGGUGAAAAGCCCGCUCGCCGGAAGACCAAGGGUUCCUGUCCAACGUUAAUCGGGGCAGGGUGAGUCGACCCCUAAGGCGAGGCCGAAAGGCGUAGUCGAUGGGAAACAGGUUAAUAUUCCUGUACUUGGUGUUACUGCGAAGGGGGGACGGAGAAGGCUAUGUUAGCCGGGCGACGGUUGUCCCGGUUUAAGCAUGUAGGCUGGUUAUCCAGGCAAAUCCGGAUAAUCAAGGCUGAGGUGUGAUGACGAGGCACUACGGUGCUGAAGUAACAAAUGCCCUGCUUCCAGGAAAAGCCUCUAAGCAUCAGGUAACAUCAAAUCGUACCCCAAACCGACACAGGUGGUCAGGUAGAGAAUACCAAGGCGCUUGAGAGAACUCGGGUGAAGGAACUAGGCAAAAUGGUGCCGUAACUUCGGGAGAAGGCACGCUGGUGUGUAGGUGAAGUCCCUGCGGAUGGAGCUGAGACCAGUCGAAGAUACCAGCUGGCUGCAACUGUUUAUUAAAAACACAGCACUGUGCAAACACGAAAGUGGACGUAUACGGUGUGACGCCUGCCCGGUGCCGGAAGGUUAAUUGAUGGGGUUAUCCGUAAGGAGAAGCUCUUGAUCGAAGCCCCGGUAAACGGCGGCCGUAACUAUAACGGUCCUAAGGUAGCGAAAUUCCUUGUCGGGUAAGUUCCGACCUGCACGAAUGGCGUAAUGAUGGCCAGGCUGUCUCCACCCGAGACUCAGUGAAAUUGAACUCGCUGUGAAGAUGCAGUGUACCCGCGGCAAGACGGAAAGACCCCGUGAACCUUUACUAUAGCUUGACACUGAACAUUGAGCCUUGAUGUGUAGGAUAGGUGGGAGGCUUUGAAGCGUGGACGCCAGUCUGCGUGGAGCCAACCUUGAAAUACCACCCUUUAAUGUUUGAUGUUCUAACGUUGGCCCCUUACCGGGGUUGCGGACAGUGUCUGGUGGGUAGUUUGACUGGGGCGGUCUCCUCCCAAAGCGUAACGGAGGAGCACGAAGGUUAGCUAAUCCUGGUCGGACAUCAGGAGGUUAGUGCAAUGGCAUAAGCUAGCUUGACUGCGAGCGUGACGGCGCGAGCAGGUGCGAAAGCAGGUCAUAGUGAUCCGGUGGUUCUGAAUGGAAGGGCCAUCGCUCAACGGAUAAAAGGUACUCCGGGGAUAACAGGCUGAUACCGCCCAAGAGUUCAUAUCGACGGCGGUGUUUGGCACCUCGAUGUCGGCUCAUCACAUCCUGGGGCUGAAGUAGGUCCCAAGGGUAUGGCUGUUCGCCAUUUAAAGUGGUACGCGAGCUGGGUUUAGAACGUCGUGAGACAGUUCGGUCCCUAUCUGCCGUGGGCGCUGGAGAAUUGAGGGGGGCUGCUCCUAGUACGAGAGGACCGGAGUGGACGCAUCACUGGUGUUCGGGUUGUCAUGCCAAUGGCACUGCCCGGUAGCUAAAUGCGGAAGAGAUAAGUGCUGAAAGCAUCUAAGCACGAAACUUGCCCCGAGAUGAGUUCUCCCUGAGACUUUAAGUCUCCUGAAGGAACGUU
rnacentral:rRNA from 1 species